CUGUUCAUAUCCUGCCUGAGCCUGGGCCGGGUGGAGGUGUCCUGCAUGGAGUCUUGUGAAAUCGCGUGGACUGCAACACCCAGCAGCGCGGUUAGGUUGGCCCAUGGGCUGGAGCGUCUGCGUCUUGGUCGGCCCGGCAGUGUACAUGUCAAGCAGCGCGCAAAGACUCCACAGCCAUUCGUAGGCACUGCUGGCCUCAUGCUCCAGACAGCCCUGGGACAAUGGGCCACCAAGGGAAAUCAAUGAUUGCGUGGGCGCAGGUGACCUCCAGCCUGCUUCAGGGCCACCCUUGUUCCCCAUGCCAACUCCCUCCUUCCUAUGGGCUCCCAAGAAAUGGGUGGCAGAGACCAGCCUGGUGAUUUACCUCCUGCCUUUCCGUGACUUCCUCCCAGUCCUGUGCAUCUCAUGUUUAAUUAUGAGGCUGUGGAAGGUGGUGAUAUUAAUUAUAGGGCUGAGGUUGUGUUACUUGGAGAAAGUCAGUGCACAUGUCAUUUGAUUUUCCUCAAGAAGGAAAACUGUAUUUUUUCCGAUCUCAAAAAUAAUUCCAGGGAAAUAAAUGUGUACAAUCACACUUUGGGGUUUAAAACUAA
ensembl:lncRNA LINC02910 long intergenic non-protein coding RNA 2910